rnacentral:rRNA from 1 species
UACGUAGGUGGCAAGCGUUGUCCGGAAUUAUUGGGCGUAAAGCGCGCGCAGGCGGUCCCUUAAGUCUGAUGUGAAAUCCCACGGCUCAACCGUGGAAGGUCAUUGGAAACUGGGGGACUUGAGUACAGAAGAGGAAAGCGGAAUUCCAAGUGUAGCGGUGAAAUGCGUAGAGAUUUGGAGGAACACCAGUGGCGAAGGCGGCUUUCUGGUCUGUAACUGACGCUGAGGCGCGAAAGCGUGGGAGCAACAGGG